UACGCAGGCGGCUUCGUUAGUCGGAUGUUAAAGCUCCUGGCUUAACUGGGAGAGGCCAUUCGAUACUGCGGGGCUUGAGGUUGGGAGAGGGGUAUGGAAUUCCCGGUGUAGUGGUGGAAUGCGUAGAUAUCGGGAGGAACACCAGUGGCGAAGGCGGUACCCUGGCCCACACCUGACGCUGAGGUACGAAAGCGUGGGUAGCAAACAGGAUUAGAUACCCUGGUAGUCCACGCUGUAAACUAUGUCAACUAGGUGUUGGUAGUGUUACACUAUCAGUGCCGAAGCAAACGCGUUAAGUUGACCGCCUGGGGACUACGAGCGCAAGCUUAAA
rnacentral:rRNA from 1 species